rfam:Endozoicomonas numazuensis strain DSM 25634 scaffold00003, whole genome shotgun sequence.
AAACGCCCUGUGCGGACCCGCAUGCAGGGUGUUGUGGGGGCUGGAGGUUAGUAACCUCCGGCUACCCGAU